GAUGAACGCUGGCGGCGUGCCUAAUACAUGCAAGUCGAGCGAAUGGAUUAAGAGCUUGCUCUUAUGAAGUUAGCGGCGGACGGGUGAGUAACACGUGGGUAACCUGCCCAUAAGACUGGGAUAACUCCGGGAAACCGGGGCUAAUACCGGAUAACAUUUUGAACCGCAUGGUUCGAAAUUGAACGUCGGCUUCGGCUGUCACUUAUGGAUGGACCCGCGUCGCAUUAGCUAGUUGGUGAGGUAACGGCUCACCAAGAAAACGAUGCGUAGCCGACCUGAGAGGGUGAUCGGCCAAACUGGGACUGAGACACGGCCCAGACUCCUACGGGAGGCAGCAGUAGGGAAUCUUCCGCAAUGGACGAAAGUCUGACGGAGCAACGCCGCGUGAGUGAUGAAGGCUUUCGGGUCGUAAAACUCUGUUGUUAGGGAAGAACAAGUGCUAGUUGAAUAAGCUGGCACCCUGACGGUACCUAACCAGAAAGCCACGGCUAACUACGUGCCAGCCGCCGCAGUAA
rnacentral:rRNA from 1 species